GACGAACGCUGGCGGCGUGCUUAACACAUGCAAGUCGAACGGAAAGGCCCUGCUUUUGUGGGGUGCUCGAGUGGCGAACGGGUGAGUAACACGUGAGUAACCUGCCCUUGACUUUGGGAUAACUUCAGGAAACUGGGGCUAAUACCGGAUAGGAGCUCCUGCUGCAUGGUGGGGGUUGGAAAGUUUCGGCGGUUGGGGAUGGACUCGCGGCUUAUCAGCUUGUUGGUGGGGUAGUGGCUUACCAAGGCUUUGACGGGUAGCCGGCCUGAGAGGGUGACCGGCCACAUUGGGACUGAGAUACGGCCUAGACUCCUACGGGAGGCAGCAGUGGGGAAUAUUGCACAAUGGGCGGAAGCCUGAUGCAGCAACGUCGCGUGCGGGAUGACGGCCUUCGGGUUGUAAACCGCUUUCGCCUGUGACGAAGCGUGAGUGACGGUAAUGGGUAAAGAAGCACCGGCUAACUACGUG
rnacentral:rRNA from 1 species